rnacentral:rRNA from 1 species
UACAGAGGGGGCAAGCGUUAUUCGGAAUUAUUGGGCGUAAAGGGCGCGUAGGCGGCCUUCUAAGUCGGACGUGAAAUCCCAGGCUAACUUGGAACUGCGUCCGAUACUGGAGGGCUUGAAUGCGGGAGAGGGAUGUGGAAUUCCAGGUGUAGCGGUGAAAUGCGUAGAUAUCUGGAGGAACACCGGUGGCGAAGGCGGCAUCCUGGACCGACAUUGACGCUGAGGCGCGAAAGCUAGGGGGA